rnacentral:rRNA from 1 species
GUGGGGAAUCUUGCGCAAUGGGGGCAACCCUGACGCAGCAAUGCCGCGUGGAGGACGAAGGUCUUCGGAUUGUAAACUCCUUUUAUAGGGGACAAAUGCCUUGGUGAAAAGCCAAGGGUGAUGGUACCCUGUGAAUAAGCCACGGCUAACUUCGUGCCAGCAGCCGCGGUAAGACGAAGGUGGCGAGCGUUACUCGGAAUUACUAGGCGUAAAGCGUGGGCAGGCGGUUCGGUAAGUCUGUUGUGAAAGCUCCCGGCUUAACCGGGAGAGGUCAAUGGAUACUGCCGGGCUUGAAUGCGGGAGAGGUGACUGGAAUUCCUGGUGUAGCGGUGAAAUGCGUAGAUAUCAGGAGGAACACCUAUGGCGAAAGCAGGUCACUGGACCGUUAUUGACGCUCAUCCACGAAAGCUGGGGGAUCAAACAGGAUUAGAUACCCUGGUAGUCC